AACGCACCUUGCACCCUUUGGUAUUCCGAAGGGUAUGCCUGUUUGAGUGUCAUUAUAUUCUCAACCAUUGAACUUGUUUCUCUGGCUUGGAUGUGGGGGUUGCGGGCUUCGCAAGAGGUCGGCUCUCCUUAAAUGCAUUAGUGGAAACCGCUUGCAGGAUUCAUUCACUUUUUGGCGUGAUAGUAUCGUCGUCAAAGGUAGUGUCUCCGAGGUAUCUGCUCUCUAACCGUCCUUUUAUGGACUCUUAAUGACUUGUUUGACCUCAAAUCAGGUAGGACUACCCGCUGAACUUAA
rnacentral:misc_RNA from 1 species